rnacentral:rRNA from 1 species
CUGGGCUCGAACGGCUUGUUAACGGUGGUGGAAACAUCACUAUCCCGCAAGGGAGUCGAGUCGAGGUGCUGCAUGGCUGUCGUCAGCUCGUGUCGUGAGAUGUUGGGUUAAGUCCCGCAACGAGCGCAACCCUUGUCCUGUGUUGCCAAUCCGCAAGGAAGCACUCUCAGGAGACCGCCAGCGAUAAGUUGGAGGAAGGUGGGGAUGACGUCAAGUCAUCAUGGCCUUUAUGUCCAGGGCUACACACGUGCUACAAUGGGCGGUACAAACCGACGCCAACCCGCGAGGGGGAGCAAAUCGGAAAAAACCGUUCUCAGUUCGGAUCGCAGGCUGCAACUCGCCUGCGUGAAGCUGGAAUCGCUAGUAAUGGUAUAUCAGAACGAUACCGUGAAUACGUUCCC